UACAGAGGUGCCGAGCGUUAGGCGGAAUCACUGGGCUUAAAGCGUGUGUAGGCGGAUGCCUAAGUACCUUGUGAAAUCCCAUGGCUUAACCAUGGAACUGCUCGGUAUACUGGGUGUCUUGAGCCACUUAGGGGCUACCGGAACAAAUGGUGGAGCGGUGAAAUGCGUAGAUAUCAUUUGGAACGCCAAUGGUGAAAACAGGUAGCUGGGAGUGUGCUGACGCUGAGACACGAAAGCCAGGGGAGCAAACAGG
rnacentral:rRNA from 1 species